rnacentral:rRNA from 1 species
GACGAACGCUGGCGGCGUGCCUAAUACAUGCAAGUAGAACGCUGAAGGAGGAGCUUGCUUCUCCGGAUGAGUUGCGAACGGGUGAGUAACGCGUAGGUAACCUGCCUGGUAGCGGGGGGUAACUAUUGGAAACGAUAGCUAAUACCGCAUAAGAGUAGUUGUUGCAUGACAUUUGCUUAAAAGGUGCAAUUGCAUCACUACCAGAUGGACCUUCGUUGUCUUAGGUAGUUGGUGGGGUAACGGCUUACCAAGGCGACGAUACAUACCCGACCUGGGAAGGGGAUCGGCCACACUGGGAACGAGAAACAGCUCCAACUCCUACGGGAGGCAGCAGGAGGGAAUCUUCGGCAAUGGGCGGAAGUCCGGCCGAACCAAGCCGCGUGAGUGAAGAAGGUUUUCGGAUCGUAAAGCCCUGUUGUAAGAGAAGAACGAGUGUGAGAGUGGAAAGUUCACGCUGUGACGGUAUCUUACCAGAAAGGGACGGCUAACUACGUG